UCACUGAUGCGUGAAGAACCUGUCUGAAAAAAUAAUACACUCUUAUUAACUUGAUCUUUUAAAACUUGGCAGCUGAAAGCGUAUCUUUAAGCACGGACAGUCUGACUUGCUGAGCCAGUUUUUUUUUCCCCCCCAGUAAUAGAGCUUAAAAGCUUCGGCAGUGAUCUGUUAUUCUUACAAGAGACAAUACAGCUCCCAACAGGCAGAGAACAGAGGGAAUUAAUGGAUUGGAAAGUCAGAUUCUAACACAUGAGCUCUCAAAAGUCUCUCUAGACCAGCAAACCGAUUGUGCAUAUCCAGCAUCAAAUCCUACAGUUAUUCUGUCUCCAUUAAAAUGAAAGCAUUUGCCAACCUGCUGUCAAUUCCCCAAAAGAACAAACUAGACCAAAGUCAGUUUGACACGAAGGAGGACUUUAGCAGGGGGACUGAACAAGUUCAAUGAGCAAGAGGCCUGAAAGAAAAAAGUUGAGCUCUGCACAUUAAUUUUAAGUCCCAGCAAUGAAAUUUCUCACGUAGCAUCAAUAAAGAAAAAAAUAAACCUGC